AGUCAAUAGAUACCCCGGUAGUCCACGCCGUAAACGAUGAAUACUAGGUGUAGGGGUUGUCAUGACCUCUGUGCCGCCGCUAAACGCAAUUAAGUAUUCCGCCGUGGGGAGUACGGUCGCAAGAUUAAAACUCAAAGGAAUUGGACGGGGGCCCGCACAAGCAGCGGAGCAUGUGGUUUAAUUCGAAGCAACGCGAAGAACCUUACCUAGACUUGACAUCUCCUGAAUUACUCUGUAAUGGAGGAAGCCCUUCGGGCGAGGAAGACAGGUGGUGCAUGGUUGUCGUCAGCUCGUGUCGUGAGAUGUUGGUUAAGUCCCGCAACGAGCGCAACCCUUAUUAGUUAGUUGCUUACCAUUAAAGUUGAGCACUCUAGCGAGACUG
rnacentral:rRNA from 1 species